rnacentral:rRNA from 1 species
AACGAACGCUGGCGGCAGGCUUAACACAUGCAAGUCGAGCGCCCCGCAAGGGGAGCGGCAGACGGGUGAGUAACGCGUGGGAAUCUACCCUUUUCUACGGAAUAACACAGGGAAACUUGUGCUAAUACCGUAGAAGCCCUUCGGGGGAAAGAUUUAUCGGGAAAGGAUGAGCCCGCGUUGGAUUAGCUAGUUGGUGGGGUAAAGGCGUACCAAGGCGACGAUCCAUAGCUGGUCUGAGAGGAUGAGCAGCCACAUUGGGACUGAGACACGGCCCAGACUCCUACGGGAGGCAGCAGUGGGGAAUAUUGGACAAUGGGCGGAAGCCUGAUCCAGCCAUGCCGCGUGAGUGAUGAAGGCCCUAGGGCUGUAAAGCUCUUUCACCGGUGAAGAUAAUGACGGUAACCGGAGAAGAAGCCCCGGCUAACUUCGUGCCAGCCGCCGCUGUAACAC